UCUUAAAUCCAAUCUAGGCCCAAAAACGCUAAUAUCCAAAACACAAAUCCUAACCCCUCAGCUCCAAUACCCACAUCUCUUAUGCCCUCCUCUCGAUUUUGUACUUUUAUGUUCUGUGUUUGUGUGAAUUGACGACUGUCUCAAUUUAUGAGGUUUGAGUUGAUUUUUCGAUCCAUGAUAGAUUUCCAAAUGCCCGGGCAAAAAUUUUGGUUUCCAAAUCGGCAAGCUGAGCAUGAAUCUUAUCUUUAGUUCAUCCUCGCGACUCUGCUUUGCCUCGUUUUGAAAGGUUCAAGAACACAGACCCAAGAACACACCACACAUCCAAAUCUGAAUCUCACCUCUUCUGUCCGUUUUCUUCAGCCUUCUCCUUUACAGGCUUAAAUCCGACUCCUUUACCAUCUAAAUAUGCACUCUCGAUCCUCUCUUCUUUCUUUAAAGUUUUCGCUUUAUUAAUUUAUGUUCUCUGUUUGUGGAUUUGAAGACUGGGUUAAUUGAGGUAUGAGUUAAUUUUCCAUUUCAUGAUAGAUUGCCCAAGAAGUGGAAGCAAUCUUGGUUUGCAAAUCCCCAAUCCCAGCAUGACUCUUAAUUAACAUUUCGUUUUCGCCACUAUGGUUUGCCUCCUCUUGGAAAGGCACUUUUUUUUCUUUUGUUUAUGUUCGAUUUGUUAUACUGGUUUUGGUAUUUUCUGCAUUUUGAUUUACAUUUGUAGUGGAUUUUAAGGGAAUUUGAGCUUAUUUUCUAUCAAAUUUUAGUUUUGAACUAUGAUUCUAUUAAGAAUUUUGACGGGUUCUAGCAUUAACACAAGUUCCACCUUGAAUCUAUUUUAAUAAGAAGAAUGAGUCAUAGAGUUGUAGAAAAUAGAACUGUGUUGAUGAUGGAUUUCAAUCGUCUUCAGUUUUACCCUGUUGAAUGUACAUUUUUCCAUAUUAGUCAAGUUUCUCUCAAAGUAUAGUUUUGUUUGCAUUUGUUAUUUACAGUACGUACAACAUCAGCUUCUCUGUACAUUGGCAUUUACAUAAGCAUUUUGCUUCUACUUACUCUUAAUUGAAUUCAUGGCUGCCAAGCCAUUGCUUUCAAAGAAUGGGCAUGUACUAGUGAAGCAAAUACUUAGUGUGUAAAGUGUUGGAUUAAUUAAUUUAUGUCAACUAGAGAACUAACUAUAAAAUGGACAAUGUUUUGGAAGUAAUCAGCACACUUCCAGCAAAAUGUCUACAAACUCGUGUGGCCGGCGAGAGUCACCAGGCCUGCUCUGAUAGUCUUUUGACAUAUCUUUCCUUCAACAAGCUCAGCUAUAUGUGUAACAUGUCAGUAUAGUUUAUGAUGACUUUAAGGCCAUUUUUAGUUGUUCAUCUUGUUAUUUUUUCUUCUUGUAUCUGACUUCUUUUAUUUUUGUUUACUACCUAUUUCGAAAGGUAUAAUUAUAGUUUUAGUUUUGACUUGCUAGAUUUUGAUAUUUGGAGUAAUGACUGAAGAUUAAGAUUAUUUUAUGGGGUUUAAGUUAGCUUUUGGUUCAUGACAGAUACCAAACAUGUGGUAGAAACUUUGGGUUGCAAAUCGCAGACUGAGAUUGACCCUUAAACAUCUCAUUCUUCCCAUCCUUCUUUGCCUCGGAAAGGUUGCCAUUGUUUCCAUUUGUGUUGGGUCUAUUCGAAGUUAUUAAACUCUUGGGGAUCCCAAUUUUGUGGAAAAUUACUUUAAGAGCUAAAAAAUUCCAAAGAAUGAAGCAAGGAAAUGGCCAAUUGAAGGCUCAAAUAGAAAGUUUUUGAGGGGAUCCCAGGAGUAGAUGAGUUUGGAUGACUCUCCCCACCCCAGACUACAGUCACCCAAACUUCAGUGAUUUGCAUUUUUGCUAAUUUUUGCUCUGGUGUCUUACUUGUGCAUAUGUAUCUUGAUUAAUUUGCUAAUCUUGUUAUAGCUUAAUUAGUAGCCUCAAUUUUUGAUGUAUACUUUUUUUUUGGUC